rnacentral:rRNA from 1 species
GACGAAGGGGGCUAGCGUUGUUCGGAAUUACUGGGCGUAAAGCGCGUGUAGGCGGUUGUUCAAGUCAGGUGUGAAAGCCUUGAGCUCAACUCAAGAAAUGCACUUGAUACUGGAUGACUAGAGGACCGGAGAGGAUAGUGGAAUUCCCAGUGUAGUGGUGAAAUACGUAGAGAUUGGGAAGAACACCAGUGGCGAAGGCGGCUAUUGAGGUGACGGUUC